UACGGAGGGUGCAAGCGUUAUCCGGAUUCACUGGGUUUAAAGGGUGCGUAGGUGGGCUGGUAAGUCAGUGGUGAAAUCUCCAGGCUUAACUUGGAAACUGCCAUUGAUACUAUCAGUCUUGAAUACCGUGGAGGUCAGCGGAAUAUGUCAUGUAGCGGUGAAAUGCUUAGAUAUGACAUAGAACACCAAUUGCGAAGGCAGCUGGCUACACGAAUAUUGACACUGAUGCACGAAAGCUGGGGAU
rnacentral:rRNA from 1 species